rnacentral:rRNA from 1 species
UGAGCAAUCUGCCCUUCUCAUCGGAAUAAGCGUUGGAAACGACGUCUAAUGCCGAAUACGACCUCCUUUCGCAUGAUCGGAGGUGGAAAGCUCCGGCGGAGAAGGAUGAGCUCGCGGCCUAUCAGCUAGUUGGUGUGGGUAAUGGCCCACCAAGGCGACGACGGGUAGCCGGCCUGAGAGGGUGACCGGCCACACUUGGACUGAGACACGGCCCAGACUCCUACGGGAGCAG